UAGGGAAUCUUCGGCAAUGGACGGAAGUCUGACCGAGCAACGCCGCGUGAGUGAAGAAGGUUUUCGGAUCGUAAAGCUCUGUUGUUAGAGAAGAACGUUGGUAGGAGUGGAAAAUCUACCAAGUGACGGUAACUAACCAGAAAGGGACGGCUAACUACGUGCCAGCAGCCGCGGUAAUACGUAGGUCCCGAGCGUUGUCCGGAUUUAUUGGGCGUAAAGCGCGCGCAGGCGGUUCUUUAAGUCUGAAGUUAAAGGCAGUGGCUUAACCAUUGUACGCUUUGGAAACUGGAGGACUUGAGUGCAGAAGGGGAGAGUGGAAUUCCAUGUGUAGCGGUGAAAUGCGUAGAUAUAUGGAGGAACACCGGUGGCGAAAGCGGCUCUCUGGUCUGUAACUGACGCUGAGGCUCGAAAGCGUGGGGAGCAAACAGG
rnacentral:rRNA from 1 species